ACGUCAGCGGAGACGACGAGAGCCGUUGAUUGGACAUGAGGAAGAAGAAGAAGGGACGGCUGAGAUGCCUUGACGCGAGAGCUCAGCUAAAACGCUCUCCGCGGAUGGUGGUUUUAGCCCGAGCGGUAACGGCAGCCACGGUUUGCUGAUCGCUUCUUUAACCACUUGAUCAACCAUUUCCUCAUCCUGACCCAACCCCAAAUACAACUUUUCAUUUAUAAAGAGAAGUCAAAAACGUUACCGUUGGAUAAGGUGGUCUCCAAUGCCACGGAGGUAGUUGACCGGAGGAUUGCAGUGGCGGCGGCCACAGAGGCGGAACUGCUCCAGGCGGAUGAACACCGGGAAGGCCCCAAACGGGAUAAGCCAUUACAGGACGGUGUUGUUGCUGAAAACCAUUAUACUGCCGUUGGAUUUUUCUAUGGUUCUCUCUGGAUUGUAUCCAUCUAUGGUUAUGAUCCUCCUUUGGAAGAAUAUUCCUCCUAUGCAUCCGAAAUUUCUGCAUCAAGAACACAUAAAGAUUCCGUAACCAUUUCACAAGAAUCUCUACAAAGCAUUCAGAUAAUUAAUUUACCUGAAGAUGGCUAGCUACAUUGUGUCGAGUUAAGCCGUCUACUUUCAUCAGUUCAAGAAUCCGUGAAGGUAUCGCUUGAUCGACACCAAGUUGGUCUACCGCUUGCACAAACUUCUUGUGCAGCUCUUGUGUCCAAUCCACCUGAAAAGAAAAAGAACUUAUCAAUAAGUGCCGCUCUUCGUUUAGCCACUAUGAAGUGUUUAAAGAGAAAUAUUACACUACCUUCUUUCGA